rfam:Megaselia scalaris, Durham, NC isolate 2 -- Noor lab, WGS project CAQQ02000000 data, contig: ctg0000177181
AAAACGGUCCUUUUAAGGACCACCAAUUUGUUAAAAGGAGAUUUUAU